rnacentral:rRNA from 1 species
UACGUAGGGCGCAAGCGUUAUCCGGAAUUAUUGGGCGUAAAGAGCUCGUAGGCGGUUUGUCGCGUCUGCCGUGAAAGUCCGGGGCUCAACUCCGGAUCUGCGGUGGGUACGGGCAGACUAGAGUGAUGUAAGGGAGACUGGAAUUCCUGGUGUAGCGGUGAAAUGCGCAGAUAUCAGGAGGAACACCGGUGGCGAAGGCGGGUCUCUGGGCCGAUACUGACGCUGAGGAGCGAAAGCGUGGGGAGCGAACAGG